rnacentral:rRNA from 1 species
GUCGGGAAUUUUGGGCAAUGGGCGAAAGCCUGACCCAGCAACGCCGCGUGAAGGAUGAAAUCCCUCGGGAUGUAAACUUCGCAAGAAUGGGAAGAAUAAGGAGGGGUUAAUAACCCUUUUGAUGACGGUACCAUUUGUAAGCUCCGGCUAACUCCGUGCCAGCAGCCGCGGUAAUACGGGGGGAGCAAGCGUUGUUCGGAUUUACUGGGCGUAAAGGGCGCGUAGGCGGCCGAACAAGUCACUUGUGAAAUCUCCGGGCUUAACUCGGAAAGGUCAAGUGAUACUGUUUGGCUAGAGUGCGGAAGGGGCAACUGGAAUUCUCGGUGUAGCGGUGAAAUGCGUAGAUAUCGAGAGGAACACCUGCGGCGAAGGCGGGUUGCUGGGCCGACACUGACGCUGAAGCGCGAAAGCUAGGGGAGCGAACGGGAUUAGAUACCCCUGUAGUCC